CGCGCCCUUGGGGGCUAGCGUUUGGCCGGAGCUACACACUCUUUACUCACGCACGCACACCGCCGUACACAGCACAAUCGUUCACCGUCCCGCCAAAGGCUCGUCUCUCGGGUUCUGCCUAGUGGAAGGAGUCGGACAACGCCGCACGUCACGGGCGUUUCGGAUUUCUUGCUUCCCAAAGGUUUGACGGCGGCCACCGGCGCCCCGGCCCAGCUCUGCUUUCCUUUGCUGACUCCUUCCUUUAGGUGUGAAUUUUAAAAUGCUGAUACCGCCCCAAGAGAGCUGAGUCAAGUGAGGCAAACGUUCGCCUGUUGUUCUCCUGACAGACUCCCUGCAGUGGGCAGGGGAAAUGUGGCCUUGGCCGACAUUAAUGAAGUGCCAGGAUGGAGGGAGGGGGCCUGCUGAUUUGUUCUGUUUUACUUUUUAAGGGUAACUAGAGCGUUACUGGAGUCGUCUGUGGGUUUGGGGAGUAUGUGGCGCGUGUGUGUGUCACACAUUUCACUGGCAACUCCCGCCAACCCCUUCCCAAGAAAUGAAGGCUCUAAUGUGGGCAGUUCUGCAACAAAGGUGAAACUUCCCCAAAUCACGAUUCCCCGCAAGAUGAGAGAGCAGGUGCAGCAUCCAUUUUCCCACUAUCACGCUUGAGAUGGUGGCUUUGGGCACUGCCGGGUGCCCCGACAUCCUUCCCAGAGCCCAGCCUUCCCACCCAGGCCCGGCCCUGCGCGGCCGCCUGCCUUUGCAUCAGAGACCGCGGCUGUGCCAUUGCCAAGGUGGGCAGCGCCGCCUCGCUUCCCCAUUCCUCCGUCUCCCACGCCUCUUGCGUGUUUGAGUCGCGAAGUGAUGGACUUUAAAUCUCAGAGGAGGAAUGAGAAACUUGGUUAGUGGCUCUCUUGGCAUGUUCGUAGCCCUGUGGUUGAAGUGGCUGAAACCUGCGUUGAGCCUCAGUCCAAGCAGCUGGGGCCACACCAGUUUGCAAAAGCGGAUGUGGCAGUUUCCACCGCAGCAGCAGCCUGCUGGCGCCUCAUCAGAUUCUCCUUUGGAGGAAGUAUCUUCUUCCCUUCAUUCUCGGUGAAUGGCAUCCAGAGAUAACCAAAAUCAGGUGUAUCUAGUUUCAAGUUCUGUCUUGCAACCGUGAUAAUUGGAGGAUGCAAACUUUACACUUUCUUCUCUAGCUGUCUACCACCACUGCUGCGCUUGUGGAUGACUGCAGGAACACCGGGUACUUGCCACAAGUAUCUCUCCAGAUUCAUCAGCCUUUCACCUGUGACAAGCUCAGUCAAGAAGUGGCUCCUAAGUAAAAGCUGGGGAAGAACAAGGAAGAUAGAGCUCAGAGUAGAAAGCUGUGAAGUUCUGCACAACAGGUCCCCUUGGCCUGCUCUAACAGUUGGAAGACAGGCAUGGUAGCUCAUGUGGAAGCUUCCCGAGGCCCUCACCCAGAAGCAGAUGCUGGAGCCAUGCUUGUACAGCUUGCAGAACUGGCAACUUGUAUUGUAGGAAUCAUCAGGCAAUAAGAUGCAGGGAAAACUCUGGAUACUGCAUACCCAAAGUUGAAUACAUUUUUCUUCUUUUUGAAACUUUUAAUACACAUAAAGACAAGUGCACGUAUUAUAAGUAUAUAGUUCAGUUUAUUUCGACAACCUGAAUAAACCCAUGUAAUCAGCACCCAGAUCAGGAAACAGAAUCUGGAAGCUUCCUUGUGUCCCCUUCCAACCACUAUUUCCCCUCAAAGUUAAUCCUGACUUCUAACUGCAUAGAUUUGUCUUGUCUAUUUUUGUACUUUAUAUAACUAGAAUAAUAGAAUAGAUACUCUUUUGUAUCUG
rnacentral:lncRNA from 1 species